CACACUCCAAGCAGCAGCUUGAUGUUGGGCGACGUCUGACGAGCGGAGUCCUUCCCUGGGAAGGAGGCUGCGACGGAGGACGCGCCUGGAACGCGUGGGCGGCGGACGCCAGACCGCGAGCGUAGCAAGACCUUCACACGUCACCCGCUCGGCUGGAUCUGGUGGACGACCAGUCUCUUGUCCAACGAAACAAACGA
rnacentral:misc_RNA from 1 species